rnacentral:rRNA from 2 species
CCGUGUACAAGUCUCCUGGAAGGGAGCGUCAUAGAGGGUGAGAAUCCCGUCUUUGACACGGACUACCAGGGCUAUGUGAUGCGCUCUCGACGAGUCGAGUUGUUUGGGAAUGCAGCUCAAAACGGGUGGUAAAUUCCAUCUAAAGCUAAAUACAGGCGAGAGACCGAUAGCGAACAAGUACCGUGAGGGAAAGAUGAAAAGAACUUUGGAAAGAGAGUUAAACAGUACGUGAAAUUGCUGAAAGGGAAACGCUUGAUGUCAGUCACGUCGCUCGGGGAUCAACCUUGCUUCUCGCUCGGUGUACUUCCCGCUCGAUGGGUCAGCAUCAGUUUCGCUCGCCGUACAAGGGCAAAGGGAACGUGGCACUCUUCGGGGUGUGUUAUAGCCUUUCGUCGCAUGCGCCGGUCGGGACUGAGGAACUCAGCACGGCUUCCGUCUGUGCUCAGGAUGCUGGCAUAAUGGCCUUAAGCGACCCGUCUUGAAACACGGACCAAGGAGUCCAACAUGCCUGCGAGUGUUCGGGUGUCAAACCCGAGUGCGUAAUGAAAGUGAACGUCGAGACCUCUGUCAUGGAGGGCACCGACGCCCGGACCUGAGUCUUCGACGACGGAUCUGCGGUAGAGCAUGCAUGUUGGGACCCGAAAGAUGGUGAACUAUGCCUGAAUAGGGUGAAGCCAGAGGAAACUCUGGUGGAGGCUCGUAGCGAUUCUGACGUGCAAAUCGA